rnacentral:tRNA from 1 species
GCCUCUUUAGCUUAGCUGGAGAGCACCCGCUCAGUCGGCGGGAGGUUGUGGGUUCGAAUACCACAGGAGGCU